rnacentral:rRNA from 1 species
UACGUAGGGGGCAAGCGUUGUCCGGAAUCAUUGGGCUAAAGAGCGCGUAGGCGGCCCUGUAAGUCCGCUGUGAAAGUCAAGGGCUCAACCCUUGAAUGCCGGUGGAUACUGCAGGGCUAGAGUCCGGAAGAGGCGAGUGGAAUUCCUGGUGUAGCGGUGAAAUGCGUAGAUAUCGGGAGGAACACCUGUGGCGAAAGCGGCGCACUGGACCACAACUGACGCUGAGGCGCGAAAGCUAGGGGAGCAAACAGG